rnacentral:rRNA from 1 species
AUGCGCUUGGAGAAGAUCACGAGUGUGCAUGAGAUGCUGGACCAGCUCUGGGAGCUAAAUGAGAACCAACGGGUCCUGAUCAUUGCAUUCUGGUGGCAAUGGUGGAACCAACGCAAUAAUGUGCGUGAUGGGCAAUUACCGCUGCAAGCUCCGGAGAUUAUAAGGCACAUUAGAGGCACUGCCUUGGAGUAUGAACAUGUGUUUGCUCCAGGAAAACGAAACAUGACCGUGCCCAAAUGGGAACCGCCUGAAACCGAUAUGUUGAAGUUCAACCUAGAUGGGACUUUCACUGCAGGGCAGUCCAUGAUUGGAUGGGGUGUUGUGGCUCGAGGUGUUGAUGGCCAAGUGGUGGUCGCUCGUGCCGGGCGCCAAGACCAAGCAACAGACGCCUUUGGGGCUGAGAUCAACGCGCUGGCAGCAGCCAUUUCAACUGCAACGGAGCUGGGUGCCACGCGAGUCGCCUUCGAAACGGAUUCGCAGCUGCUUGUUGAUGCCAUGAACAUGAGGAUAGCUGAUUCCUCCCCGUAUGCUACGAUCAUCGAG